UACGUAGGGGGCAAGCGUUGUCCGGAUUUAUUGGGCGUAAAGAGCGUGUAGGCGGCUUUACAGGUCCGUUGUGAAAACUCGAGGCUCAACCUCGAGACGCCGGUGGAAACCGUAAAGCUAGAGUCCGGAAGAGGAGAGUGGAAUUCCUGGUGUAGCGGUGAAAUGCGCAGAUAUCAGGAAGAACACCCGUGGCUAAGGCGGCUCUCUAGUACGUGACUGACGCUGAGACGCGAAAGCGUGGGGAGCGAACAGG
rnacentral:rRNA from 1 species